rnacentral:rRNA from 1 species
GACGAACGCUGGCGGCAUGCCUAAUACAUGCAAGUCGAGCGAACGGAUGAAGUGCUUGCACUUCUGACGUUAGCGGCGAACGGGUGAGUAACACGUAAGGAAUCUACCUAUAAGCGGGGGAUAACAUUCGGAAACGGGUGCUAAUACCGCAUAAUAUCUUCUUCCGCAUGGAAGAAGAUUGAAAGACGGCUCUGCUGUCACUUAUAGAUGACCUUGCGGUGCAUUAGUUAGUUGGUGGGGUAAUGGCCUACCAAGACGAGGAUGCAUAGCCGACCUGAGAGGGGGAUCGGCCACAUUGGGACUGAGACACGGCCCAAACUCCUACGGGAGGCAGCAGUAGGGAAUCUUCCGCAAUGGGCGAAAGCCUGACGGAGCAAUGCCGCGUGAGUGAAGAAGGCCUUCGGGUCGUAAAACUCUGUUAUAAGAGAAGAACAAAUUGUAGAGUAACUGCUACAGUCUUGACGGUAUCUUAUCAGAAAGCCACGGCUAACUACGUGCCAGCCGCCGCGGUAA